UGUGGUGAUGAUUGCCAGAAGGAUACACCUGUUCCCAUCUCGAACACAGUAGUUAAGCUUCUCGGCGCCGAUAGUAGUUGGGGGUUUCCCCCUGUGAGGGUAGGUAUCGCCGCGC
rnacentral:rRNA from 1 species